AUACGUAGGGGGCGAGCGUUGUCCGGAAUGAUUGGGCGUAAAGGGCGCGUAGGCGGCGCGGUAAGUCUGGAGUGAAAGUCCUGCUUUCAAGGUGGGAAUUGCUUUGGAUACUGCCGCGCUUGAGUGCAGGAGAGGUUAUCGGAAUUCCCGGUGUAGCGGUGAAAUGCGUAGAGAUCGGGAGGAACACCAGUGGCGAAGGCGACUUACUGGACUGUAACUGACGCUGAGGCGCGAAAGUGUGGGGAGCAAACAGGAUUAGAUACCCUGGUAGUCCACACUGUAAACGAUGAAUGCUAGGUGUAGGGGGUAUCGACCCCUUCUGUGCCGCAGUCAACACAAUAAGCAUUCCGCCUGGGGAGUACGGCCGCAAGGUUGAAACUCAAAUGAAUUGACGGGG
rnacentral:rRNA from 1 species